GUGGGAGUAGUUCAGUUGGUUAGAGCGUCAGAUUGUGGUUCUGAAUGUCGUGGGUUCGAGUCCCAUCUUCCACC
rnacentral:tRNA from 1 species